rnacentral:rRNA from 1 species
GACGAACGCUGGCGGCGUGCUUAACACAUGCAAGUCGAACGAUGAAGCUGGAGCUUGCUCCGGUGGAUUAGUGGCGAACGGGUGAGUAACACGUGAGCAAUCUGCCCUUGACUCUGGGAUAACUGCGGGAAACUGUAGCUAAUACCGGAUAUGAGGCUCGAAGGCAUCUUCGGGUCUGGAGAGAAUUUCGGUCAAGGAUGAGCUCGCGGCCUAUCAGCUUGUUGGUGAGGUAAUGGCUCACCAAGGCGACGACGGGUAGCCGGCCUGGGAGGGUGACCGGCCACACUGGGACUGAGACACGGCCCAGACGCCUACGGGAGGCAGCAGUGGGGAAUAUUGCACAAUGGGCGAAAGCCUGAUGCAGCAACGCCGCGUGAGGGAUGAAGGCCUUCGGGUUGUAAACCUCUUUUAGCAGGGAAGAAGCGAAAGUGACGGUACCUGCAGAAAAAGCACCGGCUAACUACGUGCCAGCCGCCGCGGUAA